AGCUGGCUCUAUAAUUGCUGAGUGCUCUACAAGAAAAAAUCUUCAAACCUGAAUCAAGAAACUUCAGGAAAGAGCUCAGCUGGUCUGGUCUAAGGGUACCUAUGCCAAAUGCUUAUGAGCAUAUAUCAAGACAGCUGCUUUUCAGCCACUGAGUAAUAGGUAUGUUCUCAUCUUCUGUCUGGUGAGCCAGGGCCUGCAAAUACAUACCAUGUGUGCUAAUCUACACCAUAAAGGAUUUUUG